rnacentral:rRNA from 1 species
UGUAUUGUACCAUGCCGUCGUACGGCUGCACGGACUUCGGUCUGGUGGCGAGUGGCGAACGGGUGAGUAAUGUAUCGGAACGUGCCCAGUAGCGGGGGAUAACUACGCGAAAGCGUAGCUAAUACCGCAUACGCCCUACGGGGGAAAGCAGGGGAUCUUCGGACCUUGCACUAUUGGAGCGGCCGAUAUCGGAUUAGCUAGUUGGUGGGGUAACGGCCUACCAAGGCGACGAUCCGUAGCUGGUUUGAGAGGACGACCAGCCACACUGGGACUGAGACACGGCCCAGACUCCUACGGGAGGCAGCAGUGGGGAAUUUUGGACAAUGGGGGAAACCCUGAUCCAGCCAUCCCGCGUGUGCGAUGAAGGCCUUCGGGUUGUAAAGCACUUUUGGCAGGAAAGAAACGUCGCGGGCUAAUACCUCGCGAAACUGACGGUACCUGCAGAAUAAGCACCGGCUAACUACGUGCCAGCAGCCGCGGUAAUACGUAGGGUGCAAGCGUUAAUCGGAAUUACUGGGCGUAAAGCGUGCGCAGGCGGUUCG